AAACGUUUAAUACAAUAAGUAUUCCAAAAGCUAUUACAUCAAAUGAGUGGCUUUGUGGGCAUACUUCCAACACUAAUAUCCUAUUAUUGGGAGAUAGGUCACUGACGAUCAUGAAGGUCUGUGAUGAGACAAUCGGUGAGCUGGUAACGUUGAGUGUGAUGGUGCCAAUGGCAAUUGAAGUGAGUCCAUUAAAUCUAGUCCAGACUUCUGAUUUAUGUUUGAUCGUGCUUUCCAGGCCCAUCUUCUGAAUGACUGACAAUUGUAGGAUAUUGACUGAGCUUCCAUUGUCCAUCAUAAUUAUGUCAAUGAUGGCGUGGGCUAGUUGUAUAGAAAUCACCAAGGCAUCAUCAUGGGGAAAGUCUACUCCCUCAGCGUCCUACUUGGUGAAACCGACGAUUAAUCCAGGUACAACAUCUACAGCUUGAACUUGAAAGACCAAUCUCGCCUGGUGGAUCUUCAUUUUCUUGGAAUUGUUGGUAGCCCUUAGAUGUUCGGACUCGGUAAAGAUUCUGUUGAUUCGAAUUAUCUUGGAUGAGGGUUCCACAUCGACGAUUGCUUCUCGCCUUGGUCGGGCAACUGGUCAGUCGACAUAUUGGUCGCACUUAUCUACCUUCACAAGUUGCUUAAGGUACUUUUUCCAUAUGGUGCAAUCGUUGGUUGUGUGUCCAGGACCUCUAUGGAAUGCACAAUACUUUGUCUGGUCCAUCUUGGAGGUGUCCCCCAUCAUAGGCGGCAGCGGCUUGAACCUGAAGGAAAA
rnacentral:lncRNA from 1 species